UACAGACAUUUGCCACUGCCUUGUUGUUGUUACAACAAAAUACGGAAGACAUUUCCGAACAAUAAGUGUCUUCCUUACAAAGGAUUCGAAGAGGAUGAGGACAUAUAGCAAUGUAAAAAGGUGAUGGAAAAAGCUAUUAUAGGUGCAUCGGGCGUGAUCUGUUGGUCCUGUAAGAAUAUUGAGGAAUAGUUGUUUUACGAAGUGCACGUAUGUGUGAAGAGCAAUUGUUUGCUUUACGUAUGCAUCAUUCUCAGAUUGGUCUGGAAUUUCAGUUGUGCCUUUUUCUUCUUGAAAAUAGCACGAAUCUUCUUUCUUCAUGCAUGAUACAGACACUUCAUUUUGUAUUUCCUUUAAAACCUUAGUAUAAAUGUAUAUUAUAUAUUGAAAGUUUGC